rnacentral:rRNA from 1 species
GACGAACGCUGGCGGCGUGCCUAAUACAUGCAAGUCGAACGCAGUGGGGACGGGUGAGUAACACGUGGGUAACCUCCCCAUCAGAGGGGAUAACACUUGGAAACAGGUGCUAAACCGAUACUGAUGGAUGGACCCGCGGUGCAUUGGCUAGUUGGUGAGGUAACGGGUCACCAAGGCCACGAUGCAUAGCCGGUCUGAGAGGGGGAUCGCCCACACUGGAACAUAUAGACGGCCCAGACUCCUACGGGAGGCAGCAGUAGGGAAUUAUCGGCAAUGGCCGAAAGUCUGACCGAUCAACGCCGCUUGAGUGAAGAAGGUUUUCGGAUCGUAAAACUCUGUUGUUAGAGAAGCGGUAUCUAACCAGAAAGCCACGGCUAACAACGUGCCAGCCGCCGCGGUAAUAC